CCUCCUUUGUUCCUCCUUGGGGCAUCUUGCGCAAUGGGCGAAAGCCUGACGCAGCGACGCCGCGUGAGGGAUGAAGGUCUUCGGAUCGUAAACCUCUGUCAGCAGGGAAGAACGGUCACUGUGCUAAUCAGCAGUGAAUUGACGGUACCUGCAAAGGAAGCACCGGCUAACUCCGUGCCAGCAGCCGCGGUAAUACGGAGGGUGCGAGCGUUAAUCGGACUUACUGGGCGUAAAGCGCUCGUAGGCGGUAUGUCAAGUCAAGGGUGAAAUCCCCGCGCUCAACGUGGGAACUGCCUUUGAAUCUGGCAAACUGGAGUGUGUGAGAGGUAUGCGGAAUGCGUGGUGUAGCGGUGAAAUGCAUAGAUAUCACGCAGAACUCCGAUUGCGAAGGCAGCAUACCGGCGCGCAACUGACGCUCAUGCACGAAAGCGUGGGUAUCGAACAGGAUUAGAUACCCCAGUAGUC
rnacentral:rRNA from 1 species